CCUACGGGAGGCAGCAGUGGGGAAUAUUGGACAAUGGGCGCAAGCCUGAUCCAGCCAUGCCGCGUGAGUGAUGAAGGCCUUAGGGUUGUAAAGCUCUUUUAUCCGGGACGAUAAUGACGGUACCGGAGGAAUAAGCCCCGGCUAACUUCGUGCCAGCAGCCGCGGUAAUACGAAGGGGGCUAGCGUUGCUCGGAAUCACUGGGCGUAAAGGGCGCGUAGGCGGCGUUUUAAGUCGGGGGUGAAAGCCUGUGGCUCAACCAAAGAAGGGCCUUCGAUACUGGGACGCAUGAGUAUGGUAGAGGUUGGGGGAACUGCGAGUGUAGAGGUGAAAUUCGUAGAUAUUCGCAAGAACACCGGUGGCGAAGGCGGCCAACGGGAC
rnacentral:rRNA from 1 species